rnacentral:rRNA from 1 species
AGAGUUUGAUCAUGGCUCAGGAUGAACGCUGGCGGCGUGCUUAACACAUGCAAGUCGAACGAACCUUCGGGUUAGUGGCGGACGGGUGAGUAACGCGUGAGAAUCUGCCCUCAGGAGGGGGAUAACGGUUGGAAACGACCGCUAAUACCCCAUAUGCCUACUGGUGAAAUGAAUUUCGCCUGAGGAUGAGCUCGCGUCUGAUUAGCUAGUUGGUGAGGUAAUGGCUCACCAAGGCUUCGAUCAGUAGCUGGUCUGAGAGGAUGAUCAGCCACACUGGGACUGAGACACGGCCCAGACUCCUACGGGAGGCAGCAGUGGGGAAUUUUCCGCAAUGGGCGAAAGCCUGACGGAGCAACGCCGCGUGAGGGACGAAGGCCUCUGGGCUGUAAACCUCUUUUCUCAAGGAAGAAGAUAUGACGGUACUUGAGGAAUAAGCCACGGCUAAUUCCGUGCCAGCAGCCGCGGUAAUACGGGAGUGGCAAGCGUUAUCCGGAAUUAUUGGGCGUAAAGCGUCCGCAGGCGGCUUUUCAAGUCUGCUGUUAAAGCGUGGAGCUUAACUCCAUCAUGGCAGUGGAAACUGAAAGGCUUGAGUAUGGUAGGGGCAGAGGGAAUUCCCGGUGUAGCGGUGAAAUGCGUAGAUAUCGGGAAGAACACCAGUGGCGAAGGCGCUCUGCUGGGCCAUUACUGACGCUCAUGGACGAAAGCCAGGGGAGCGAAAGGGAUUAGAUACCCCUGUAGUCCUGGCCGUAAACGAUGAACACUAGGUGUCGGGGGAAUCGACCCCUUCGGUGUCGUAGCUAACGCGUUAAGUGUUCCGCCUGGGGAGUACGCACGCAAGUGUGAAACUCAAGGAAUUGACGGGGGCCCGCACAGCGGUGGAGUAUGUGGUUUAAUUCGAUGCAACGCGAGAACCUUACCAGGGUUUGACAUCCUGCGAACCUCUUAGAAAUUUGAGGGUGCCUUCGGGAAUGCAGUGACAGGUGGUGCAUGGCUGUCGUCAGCUCGUGUCGUGAGAUGUUGGGUUAAGUCCCGCAACGAGCGCAACCCACGUUUUUAGUUGCCAGCAUUUAGUUGGGCACUCUAGAAAGACCGCCGGUGAUAAACCGGAGGAAGGUGUGGAUGACGUCAAGUCAUCAUGCCCCUUACACCCUGGGCUACACACGUACUACAAUGCUACGGACAAAGGGCAGCAAACUCGCGAGAGCUAGCAAAUCCCAUAAACCGUGGCUCAGUUCAGAUCGUAGGCUGCAACUCGCCUACGUGAAGUAGGAAUCGCUAGUAAUCGCAGGUCAGCAUACUGCGGUGAAUACGUUCCCGGGCCUUGUACACACCGCCCGUCACACCAUGGAAGUUGGCCAUGCCCGAAGUCGUUACUCCAACCCUUGUGGAGGAGGACGCCGAAGGUGGGGCUAAUGACUGGGGUGAAGUCAUAACAAGGUAGCCGUA